rnacentral:rRNA from 1 species
CCUACGGGAGGCAGCAGUGGGGAAUAUUGCACAAUGGGGGAAACCCUGAUGCAGCGACGCCGCGUGAGUGAAGAAGGAAUUCGUUAUGUAAAGCUCUAUUAGCAGGGAAGAAAAUGACGGUACCUGAGUAAGAAGCGCCGGCUAACUACGUGCCAGCAGCCGCGGUCAUACGGAGGGGGCAAGCGGUAUCCGGAUUUACUGGGUGUAAAGGGGGCGUAGACGGCAGUGAAAGUCUGGAGUGAAAGGGGUGGGCUCAACCCCCGGACUGCUGUUGAAACUGUAGGGCGGGAGUGCAGGAGAGGUAAGUGGAAUUCCUAGUGUAGCGGUGAAAUGCGUAGAUAUUAGGAGGAACACCAGUGGCGAAGGCGGCUUACUGGACUGUAACUGACGUUGAGGCUCGAAAGCGUGGGGAGCAAACAGGAUUAGAUACCCCAGUAGUC